rfam:Triticum aestivum genome assembly, contig: Triticum_aestivum_CS42_TGACv1_scaffold_501721_6BL
GAGUUACUCCCUCCGUUCGGAAUUACUCGUCUUAGAAAUUAAUUGUAGAUACAUCCAUUUUUAUUCAUUUUUGUGACAAGUAAUUCCGAACGGAGGGAGUACAUU